ACAGAGAGCUGGGGGGGCCUGUUGGCUGAGAAGACGGCAUGUCUGACCCUUGGAACCUGAUGUGGUUAGCACCACCGUAGGGAAGCUUUCAUCGAACAAU
rnacentral:ncRNA from 2 species